UCCAGAGGGUGUGAGCGUUAAUCGGCUUUACUGGGCGUAACGCGUGCGUAGGCGGCGUUUUAAGUCGUAUGUGAAAUCCCCUAGCUUAACUUGGGAAUUGCAUUCGAUACUGGGAAGCUAGAGUAUGGGAGCGGAGGGUAGAAUUCCAGGUGUAGCGGUGAAAUGCGUAGAGAUCUGGAGGAAUACCGAUGGCGAAGGCAGCCAUCUGGCCUAAUACUGACGCUGAGGUACGAAAGCAUGGGGAGCAAACAGG
rnacentral:misc_RNA from 1 species